rnacentral:rRNA from 1 species
AUUGAACGCUAGCGGCAGGCCUAACACAUGCAAGUCGAACGAGUGGCGGACGGGUGAGUAAUGUCUGGGAACCUGCCUGAUGGCGGGGGAUAACUACUGGAAACGGUAGCUAAUACCGCAUACCAUCAGAUGUGCCCAGAUGGGAUUAGCUAGUUGGUGGGGUAACGGCGCACCAAGGCGACGAUCCCUAGCUGGUCUGAGAGGAUGACCAGCCACACGGGAACUGAGACACGGCCCAGACUCCUACGGGAGGCAGCAGUGGGGAAUAUUGCACAAUGGGCGCAAGCCUGAUGCAGCCAUGCCGCGUGUAUGAAGAAGGCCUUCGGGUUGUAAAGUACUUUCAGCGGGGAGGCGUUACCCGCAGAAGAAGCACCGGCUAACUCCGUGCCAGCAGCCGCGGUAAUAC